GUUGCUGUAGGUUGAAUUAUGUUGCUCAAAAAGACAUCUUGAAGUCUAAACCCUGGUACCUGUAAGUGUGACCUUAUCUGGAAAUAGGAUCUUUGCAGAUGUAAUCAAGUUAAGAUGAGGCAUACUGGAUUUGGGUGGAUACUAGAUCCACUAACUUGUGUCCUUUAUAAGAAAAGAGACACACAGAGAAGAAGGCCAUGUAAAGACAGAGGCAGAGAUGGAGUGAUGCAGCUGCAAACCAGGGAAACAGAAGCUAGGAAGAGGUAAGGAAGGAUUCCUCCCUGGAGCCUUCAGAGGAAGCAUGGCCCCACCCACAUCUUGAUUUCAGGCAAAGGAGGAAGAAGAGAAUACAAAUAACUGAUCAGAGGAAUAAAAAGUCUCUGCUUACUCUGAAGGGUCCAGUACAAAAAGAAUGUAACAGGAAGCAUAUGACGUCUUACAUUUGGUUCCACAAAAGGUGCAGGAAUGAAUUAAGAAGGAUGUGCUCAUGCUUAUAUUGUAGCAUGUGAGAAAAAAGUUUUAAGGGCUUUAUGAAAUUUUAAUUUUGAUAAGAAAUUAAAUAGCAGCAUUCUAGAUGCAGUGAAGCUCCACAAUGAAGAUAGAACUGCCGUGAAUCUUUAUGAACUGAAUAAUGUUAUAUCAAAAUAGAUUUUUUUAAAUAUAUGAAACAAAUUGACAGAAACACAUUAGAUGUGAGAGGAAUAAUAAACUUCCCUUAGCUAUUUUCACAUUAAAUAGGCACUAAUAAUAAUAAUGAACAUGUGUGUCAAACACCUUAUAAAAUAAAAAUAAAACAUUGACAAAAUGAAUUAUUACAGACCUAAAAUGUCUCAAUAAACACUAGCAAAGAUAUCCUAAAGAAAAUUAUGAAAAACAUUAUGAACGAGUAGGAUUAGCUCAGAGGU
rnacentral:lncRNA from 10 species